rnacentral:rRNA from 1 species
UACGGAGGGUGCGAGCGUUGUCCGGAAUCAUUGGGCGUAAAGGGCGCGUAGGUGGCGGGACAAGCGUGCGGUGAAAGCCUGGGGCUCAACCCCGGGUCGGCCGUGCGAACUGUUUUGCUUGAGCACUGUAGAAGCAGGCGGAAUUCCGGGUGUAGCGGUGGAAUGCGUAGAGAUCCGGAAGAACACCCGUGGCGAAGGCGGCUCUCUGGGACGGUACUGGCGCUGAGACGCGAAAGCGUGGGGAGCGAACAGG